CUGUAAAUAAAAACCGACAUCCUACACAUGUCAACUAAAUACUGACGUAUGCAUCUUUGACGACAAAUCUGUGGCGCCGUAUUAAAACUUAAACCUGGGUCCCGGUGAGCUCGUGGAAAUAGCGAGUCUCAGUAACAGUCACGAUUACUUGGACAUUUUACAAAAUGUCAUGUUGCCGACUGUGCGGGUUGCUUAUCCGCACGAACAUAUUUAUUUCGUGCAGGAUAAUAGCGCACGGAUCGUGCAAAACUGGUUCCAAAACCAAGUAAACAUGACUGUUAUUUAUUGGCCAGCAAAAAGACCCGAUUUAAACCCCAUAGAAAAUCUGUGGGGUCAUAUGGUGCUAAACUGGGACUCAUCGGAAAUUAAAUCUAAAGCCAAUUUAGACGACGUAGUAAUGUCGACCUGGGAGUCAUUACGCGGUAGCAACAUUUGCACGAACAUGGUGCAAAGCAUGAGCAGAAGCUUGCAAGAGGUAAUAGACCGAGAGGGUUUACCCACUCACUACUAAACUUAAUUCAGAUUUAGGCAGGCUCAGUAACUGAUUCAGAAAUCGAAACAAGUCAGCGCUGACCCAAAACAUUCGUGUAGGAAUUUAAUGCUAGCAGCAUGAAGUUCAAAUUUAUUUGUAUUGUAUUGUCAGCGCUGACUUAUAUCGAUUUCUGAAUCAGUUACUGAGCCAAAUUAUAUACAGUCCAAAUUGACUACAAUGUUAAUAUUUUUAAAAUAAUAUUAAAAUGCAGUCUAGACAAAACCUGUGAUAAAACGGUGAAGUGAUUAUAUUGUUAUGCGGUUAGAAAUUGUCAUAAUUUCUUUCUAUUUAAGUGACUAUAGACAUCACUUGGGAUAGUGACUCAUGUCAUUCCAUAAAAAAAACUUUGUUGUAGUAAUAAAAUCAACAAAUUCAUAACAAAAACUAACAGAUUAGUCAAAAGACAAAAGUUUUUUUUUAUAAAAAAAUUAAAUUAAACAAAGAGAGAUUCCGGAUUCCUAGCUAACUUAAUAUUUACUAUUCUAAAUUAAAUCAAAAGAAUAGGAUAAAUGAAACUGACACCCAGAACCUACAAUCAGAACUAGACCACUUGACAGCAAAGUUGCAGUUGUAGAAUACAUGAAAACCAACGGACCUGAGUAGGUAUUGUAGGUAUUUCAUUACCAGUAAAUUUUAUUUGAAAAUAACAGCACAUCAAGGUGAUAUCAAAGUAAUUCGUACUAAGUCAUAGUGUACACGAAAUAUCUUUGAUGUAGAAAUGAACAUAAAGAAAGGACAAAGUGCUACUGGCUCAGGGCACGGGGAGGUCCACUUACAGUUGUCAUAGGCUAAAAUACGUAGCAGUGUGAAGUACAAUGUGUUUUAUUUGAUUGCAAAAGACAUGGUUGACAGAUACAACCACCUAUUGAUAUAUAGACACGGACAAGAAUAGUCACAUACAGCACGUCAAGACGUUCGACCAAAAUGGGAAAAAACACUCCAUUACUAUCCAUUAAAUAUCAGUGAAUAAUGACGACGAAUAGUAAGGAGCAAACUCUAUCCAGCGACAAGAGAAACAGUUUCUCAAACCUUGAUCACUCAAUGUACACACUACCGACACUCAAACUGUGGGAACAACUGGUCAGUGCUUACAGAGUUGUGCUUCGAGUCACAGCAGAUAAAGGUCGCGAAGAAAAGUAGGCGACAUACAUAAACAACGUGUGGCGAAGUAACAAUGACUAUAAGACCGAAUUAAGACGAUGAUACACAGAUGUCAUGUUCAGACAAUACUUUGUUUAAUAUCGCCAACUAACAUAAUAAAGACAUCAGAAAUGCUGUAAAAAGCUAGAGAGAUUUAUGAGAAAAUUAACGGACCUGAGUAGCAGAGAGAUAGAUAGAUUCUACAACGAGCCUUACUUGUUCUACAGGGCAUCAAUAUAAGAAUAGAAGUCAAGGAAACACUUGAAGCCGCGUGCCUCACUACAACUGCGAGUAUAGAUAGUAAAAGCUAUCAACUCACACAUGAGAGUCCACACUCGACAACUGACGACUAUGGUGGACAUCAUGACACGAACACGUGCCACUAACAUUGAUGAACAAAAAGAUGACUAACGAACAGCACAUCAAGGUGAUAUAUAAGUAAUUCGUACUAAGUCAUAGUGUACACGAAAUAUCUUUGAUGUAGAAAUGAACAUAAAGAAAGAGUCUGUAACUUCCAAUCCACAUUUCACAAUUUCUGUGGAAGUUCCUUAUUGUACGAAUGGAAUUACUGACUCGCACCAUUUUGUUAAACGUACACAAACAGUUGUGAAGAUAAUGGCCAAUCUAAAGGCUAGGGGGAAUAGUUAUUGCUAAAAUGCACGACAAAGAUCAAAUAACACACUCAAAUAUAAAACAAUAUAAGAAAGUAAAGGCAUAAUGUAAGGGACAUAAAGAUGUUUAUAUUAUUAUGAAACAAAAAGUGUCUUGCGCUGGACCUGAGAAGAAUCCAGCAAACAGAUAAAAAAUGUACAUCAGUGAGUUCCAGAACUAAGACAUAUAAGGGAUCUACAACAGAUCAUGUCAUUAGAAAAUAAAGAUUACUAACUUAUGAUCCGAAGCGACGGACCUGAGGACGUAUCACGACACUGAAGACGCUUUGGGUGACAGUUUCAUGACGAGUCAACCAUGUCAAGGUCCAAACAUGUUGACUGAGGACACACAAAUGUGGGAAUGAGAGCCCACACUCGACAACUGACGACUAUGGUGGACAUCAUGACAUGAACACGUGCCACUCUGACGAUAGCUACAAAAAACUAAACGCAACUACAAAAUCAGUUCUACGAACAGCACAUCAAGGUGAUAUAUCAGUAAUUCGUACUAAGUCAUAGUGUACACGAAAUAUCUUUGAUGUAGAAAUGAACAUAAAGAAAGAGUCUGUAACUUCCAAUCCACAUUUAAUAACAGAUACAGACCACAUAGCAUGUCGACGUUUAUGAUAAAUACUGGCUAUUGGCAAUCUUCUGGUACAAUAGUACUGUCGACACUAGACCGGCGAUCAAAUAUAGGGAUAUAAAGAUGUUUAUAUUAUUAUGAAAAAAAAAAAAUGUCUUGAAGAAUUCAGCAAACAGAUAAACAAUCUGUAAGUACGUAUUACGACGCUGCUGGAGGCGUAAUGGGUUAUAUGUUGGCUCAACCAAGACGGUGGAAUGGAGAUGACGACAUAGCACUGCUACAAACGACUAAUGUCGAUGCCAGAAUAUUAAACCAAGGUGUGGAAUCUGUUCAAUGUUGUACAGCAUGUCAAGGUUCACUAACGACGAAAUCAAAUACAGAAGGUCAGUAAGUUCCAGGAGUAAGUUGGAAAUAUAAACGAACCCCUACAGAUGGUCAUUAACAAGCCAGAAGGGCUUGAAACAU